UCGUGGAAUCACACAGCAUAGAUAAAUAUACGUGAACUGUACCUAUUACGUAAAAGCUAAAUAUAAUAUGUUUAUUGAAAAAGUUUAUAGACUGGAAUUACCAGGUGCAGUCCUCGAGAACAGUAUCAAAUUUCCAGCAUAUUUUAAAUACACAUCCGUUAGCGUUACGAUGAGGUUUCAGUUCAGAAGAGCAAUGAAUAGCUCGCCUGUAGGACAGCAAAGUAGCCGCCCGCAUAUCAAAUGGCAGACUGUUGAACAGACAGAUACAGGGUGAACCAGGACCUCUGCUACAAACUUGAGGAGUGAUACAUCUCGCAGGGAGGAUCAAUUUUUGUCAAGCAACCUGUAUCUUCCACUGCGUCAUUUAGGAGUUAUUCACCCCUGUUUGCAGCAUAUCAUGCAGGAGCUCUGAAUGUUGAACACUUCGUGUGUGGUGAGAACUGGCCAUAAACGAGUACUUGUGGCAAGUAUCAUAAACCAUUCAGUAAUGAGUUAUCUGAUGAGACAUCAGUGCAUACGCAGUGGGAGUGUCAAUAUACCUGUGACGUGUUAUGAGUGACAUUCAUCACAGGUGUAUGGAUGCUCCUCUCUCUGUAUCAUUCAACGCACAGAGGAGUCUGAAGACAUGUGAACAAUACAUAGUUGGAGCAGCUGUGUUCCUGUGUGUGAUAUGCAUAAUUAGUCUGCAGAAGGAAUGUUCUGUAGACAUACUAUUCCAUACUUUUGGAUGGGAGCAUAUUCCUGUGCUGAUGUCUCUUCAGAUUACUCUUAUUACAGAAAUCAGAGUGAUCUGAAGAUAUGUCGGCACAUACUCAUAUGCGUGAAUGUCCGUAACUUUGUGAUGUUUGUAAUAUGUGAUUCAUUGAGAAGAGUGGUAUGAAGAGGCACCAGAAUAUGUAGUCUGGAGUGUCAAAAUUUCUGUGAUGUGUAAAUGGUUUAAUAAUAAGGUGAAUCUGAAGCAUUAUCGACAGACAUAGUGGGAAAGAUCAUACCUCUGUCUAAUUUGUAACAGAUCAAUUAGUAAUCAGUGAGUCCUGGGUGAUCAGAGCGCCACCAUUUGCAUUUGUCUUCAAAGUUUCUGUUUAUUCUUCUGAAUCUGGUGUCACAUGAGCUUUUAACAUUUAUGUUCACACAACACUUAACUUUUUUUGCAUUUAAGAAACAUUAAAAUGGUCAGUUUAGUUUGUGCUAUGCAUGUUUUGUGACAGUAUGAUUCAUGUUGUCACAUGAUUAGUAAGUAGCUUGCCAACAUCAGCAUAAGAUAAUUGAUGUUAUGGGUUGGACACAGUUCUGGAUGGCAUACAUGGCAGACAGGCUAGAUUGUAUUAGGAUAGAUGUUUUCCCGAAAAGGAAGACAAAUCUUAUUGUGACGGAUAUGAUCAAAGCAUUGGUAGGCAACGGUUCAGUAAACACAUUCCCACAAACAUACAACAAUGGGAACUGUGUUCUCUGUGGGCCACUCUACAGCUAGUUGCAAGGUUACACAAUAAUUCUGACAACAGAGGAGGAUGUUUUCUGUGUGGUCCGAGCCAUGGCUACAUAACAAGAUUCCCAGAAUAACUUGAGUGUAGUUGAGAGUACAAGGUGAAGAAUGAGCAUGUCUUAGUAAUUUGUGAAAAUUAGCGAUAGUGCUAUAAUUGAUUGUAAUUGUGAAGAAGUGUUCAAUAAACCCAAUGGUCAAAUCUAGAA